AGAGAGCGUUGAUUUGAAAGGUUGCUUUGAUUUCUUAAAAGGAAUCAAAGGUUUUUUCAAGGAGCGAUGUCCAGUUCAUGAAAUGGGACGACAA
rnacentral:ncRNA from 1 species